rnacentral:hammerhead_ribozyme from 1 species
GCACUGCUGAUGGGACCCAAAACAGGUCGAAACAGCUGUCCAGUGC